CAGCAGCCGCGGGAAAACGAAGGGGGCUAGCGUUGUUCGGAUUUACUGGGCGUAAAGGGCGCGUAGGCGGACUGAUAAGUCAGGGGUGAAAUCCCAAGGCUCAACCUUGGAACUGCCUUUGAUACUGUUUGUCUUGAGUUCGAGAGGGGUAAGUGGAACCGCGAGUGUAGAGGUGAAAUUCGUAGAUAUUCGCAAGAACACCAGUGGCGAAGGCGGCUUACUGGCUCGAAACUGACGCUGAGGCGCGAAAGCGUGGGGAGCAAACAGGAUUAGAUACCCCUGUAGUCCCUGUCUCUUAUAC
rnacentral:rRNA from 1 species